GACGAACGCUGGCGGCGUGCUUAACACAUGCAAGUCGAACGGAAAGGCCCCUUUGGGGGUACUCGAGUGGCGAACGGGUGAGUAACACGUGAGUAACCUGCCCUUGACUUCGGGAUAACUUCAGGAAACUGGGGCUAAUACCGGAUAGGAAUCCUUGCUGCAUGGUGGGGGUUGGAAAGCUUCGGCGGUUUUGGAUGGACUCGCGGCUUAUCAGCUUGUUGGUGGGGUAGUGGCUUACCAAGGCUUUGACGGGUAGCCGGCCUGAGAGGGCGACCGGCCACAUUGGGACUGAGAUACGGCCCAGACUCCUACGGGAGGCAGCAGUGGGGAAUAUUGCACAAUGGGCGGAAGCCUGAUGCAGCAACGCCGCGGGCGGGAUGACGGGCUUCGGGUUGUAAACCGCUUUCAGCAGGGGCGAAGCUUGUGGUGACGGUACCUGCAGAAGAAGCACCGGCUAACUACGUG
rnacentral:rRNA from 1 species